GAUGAACGCUAGCGGCAGGCCUAACACAUGCAAGUCGAGGGAGAAGCCCUUUCGGGGGCAGAAACCGGCGCACGGGUGCGUAACGCGUAUGCAACCUACCUUUCACAGGGGGAUAGCCCGAAGAAAUUUGGAUUAAUACCCCAUAAUAUUAUUGGAUGGCAUCAUUUGAUAAUUAAAACUGCGGUGGUGAAAGAUGGGCAUGCGUCCUAUUAGCUAGUUGGAGUGGUAACGGCACCCCAAGGCUACGAUAGGUAGGGGUCCUGAGAGGGAGAUCCCCCACACUGGUACUGAGACAGGGACCAGACUCCUACGGGAGGCAGCAGUGAGGAAUAUUGGUCAAUGGUCGGAAGACUGAACCAGCCAUGCCGAGUGCAGGAAGAAUGCCUUAUGGGUUGUAAACUGCUUUUAUAUGGGAAGAAUAAGGCGUACGUGUACGUUGAUGACGGUACCAUAUGAAUAAGCAUCGGCUAACUCCGUG
rnacentral:rRNA from 1 species